rnacentral:rRNA from 1 species
UACGGGGGGAGCAAGCGUUGUUCGGAUUUACUGGGCGUAAAGGGCGCGUAGGCGGCCCUGCAAGUCAGUUGUGAAAUCUCCGGGCUUAACCCGGAAAGGUCAACUGAUACUGCAGGGCUAGAGUGCAGAAGGGGCAACUGGAAUUCCCGGUGUAGCGGUGAAAUGCGCAGAUAUCGGGAAGAACACCCGUGGCUAAGGCGGCUCUCUAGUGCGGUACUGACGCUGAGACGCGAAAGCGUGGGGAGCGAACAGG